rnacentral:lncRNA from 1 species
GCUGGCGCAGGUGGCAGUGUCUAAAAAGGCAUCACCUUUGAGGACCAGAUGUGGGGUUGGUAAGCACAGUUAUGAAAAUUUCUAUCCAGCCUCCGUUUUGAAUGGUUUUAAGAAAUUUUGUAUAUGGAGGACAUAGGAUGCCUUUGUUUUAUACAUGAUCCAAAUCUUUGUUUUACAUUUCUUUUAUCCAAAAUAUUUAGGCAUCUGACAUUUUCAACCAAAAUUUCAAUUAUAUACUGUGAUU